rnacentral:rRNA from 1 species
CCCUUAGACGUUCUGGGCCGCACGCGCGCUACACUGACAAAGGCAACGAGCCACUCUUCACCGAAAGGUGUGGGUAAUCUUUUGAAACUUUGUCGUGCUGGGGAUAGAUCCUUGCAAUUUUUGAUCUUAAACGAGGAAUUCCUAGUAAGCGCAAGUCAUCAACUUGCGUUGAUUACGUCCCUGCCCUUUGUACACACCGCCCGUCGCUACUACCGAUUGAAUGGUUUAGUGAGGCCUUCGGAUCCGCGACUCGUUUGUGGAGAAGUUGGACAAACUCAGUCAUUUAGAGGAAGUAAAAGUCGUAACA